CUCCUGUGUAAAUCAUUGAUCUUCACAUCACACUUGUUGAGUGGUCAACGAGAUUUGUUAUUUAGAUUAUUCCUGAAAGGAAAAGCUCAGGCUUUUGAGAAUUCCUUGUCUGAUGUCACCCAGGCAGUCACAGUAGAAGACAGAGCUGAUAUAAAAAUCCCUCACCUGCCUGAACUGCAAAGCUUCUGGGAUUACUGAUCCCUGAAAUGCAGGUGACUCUUGAUGAUAAUCUGGGGGAUGGUUUAUAUGAUCAGAUUCUUCCAGUCCUGUAAAUGGGUUCCGUGGCCCCAGCCCCGGGAGAGCUGGUCAUAAGGGCCAUAUCGUGAGGGGUGGGAUGGGAAGGCAAGGUCUAAGAGCUGGCAUCACUGAGAUUCCACACUCGCUAAACACAGACCCCAGAGCCUAAUUGUUGUCAGGUUCUGUUCUGGAUUUGAGAGUGUGUUCAGACAUGAUUCUUGCCCUUCAGGGGUCACUGCCUGGGUGGAAGUAACCUUUACAUAAAUCUGGGGAGGAUGACAAUUAAGUAGAUGGGCUGUUAUGAUUCUCAGUGUGCCCAGGCUCGCUCUUCCAGGCACUCGUGGGACUAACGAGAGUCAUGUUAUUCACUCAUACACUGAUUUAUUACCCUUGAAUUGAUCAUUUGUCCCACAGUAAGUGAAACAAGCGAUGAGGAACCUGAGUUUUGUCCCCUUUCCUAGCACUGAUUGUAUCUGUCAGUCAGGCGCCCUGCGUAUGCAUUGUGAAAUGGUGGUAUUUCUUGCCCAAUGGGACUGCACUGUCAGUUCUGAGAAUCAGGGGAGACACGUGGGUAGGACAGCACACUGACACAUAUGGCACCCCCCCCACCCCAUGAGACAGCAUUGUCGAUGCUCAGGUGACCCGAUGUAGACCGCGGUGCUAAAUCUGAGCAUGUUUAGUGAUCUUGGUGGCUAUGAAAAUACAGACUGCCGGUCCCUAAUUCUGGAGACUCUGAGGGUGUGCACCCCAGAAUUCUGCAUUUUAAGAAGCACUUUAACUAAUUCUGAUGAAGAUGAUCUGAGUGUCCCACUGAGAAACACUGGUGUGCGAUGCACCAGUAUUGAGGAUUCUCAGGGAGCGAUGUUUUUUCAGGAUGGUCCAAGGGCCCUCACGAGACUUUUGCCUUGGGUGUAAUUGUAUGUGUUCGAAAGUGAUGUCUCUCACUUCCAGUGCUUGUCAGCAUGCUCUGUGCAGGGAUUUGCUCUCAGCAGAUAUCAAAAACUAUAAGUCUUCAGGUCACCGAGCUAGAGUGUGGGCGAUCUUUUAUUUUGGUUUUCUUUAUUGCAAUGCGGAGUCUCCCGAGAAGAGAUUCAGACUGAACAGCUUUGUGUCGGACUUUGGAAGACCGCUGGUGCCCAAGGGGUUCUCUGGCAGCACAAUGACGAAUCUAGGUCCCUCUUUCACUGCUACGUCAAUGAAGUGGACCGCAUGGACAAGGCCAAAGCUGGUAUCCCAACCAUAGCCCUUGACAGUGAUGUUCGGCUCCAGGAAGCCAUCAGAUGCAGCAGGUGGCCAGAGAAGGAGCCUAACGGGCUCAUGAAAUGUGACACCCCCAGCUUCAUCAACACGGACCAGAACUCUUCCUUUGGGGAAGAUGAUCUCCUGAUUUUGGAACCACCGAUUGUUCUAGAAAAUAAGCCAGUUGCCCAGACCUCACACAAAGACUUGAAUUGGAAAUGUGCUUUGUCAAGUGUUUCUCUGAAGAUGUGAAGUCUGUCUUUGUAUGGCAGGAAGUCCCCUUUCACAAAAUUGUAUGUGUUUGUGUCUGAGAGAGAGAAAUGGAGACAGACAGAAAGACGGAGACAGAAGAGAGCCCCCUCAGAAGAGAGCUAGUUAAGCACCCCAGACUGACGAAGACAGUGGAGAAUGCCUCUGAGUUUGGCACUGAUUGCCUGGAGAAUGCUGAAACCCAGGGAAGUGGGCAGCACAGACGUUUACUCAUUUAAUCCUGCCAACACAGUAGGAGAUAGAGUCUACAUAUUCCUCGCUACUUAAAAGAUCCCUGCCUUCUCUCUGCUCCUCCUGUCCAUGUCUCUCCCUCCACUUUUCCCCUUCUCCCCUCCUCCUCCCAUCUUCUCCGUCCCUCCCUUCCCCAACUUCUCUUGCAGAACACAGAGAGGAUAGCUGGCCCUCCUGCGCAUGCGCAGUCUGUGCCAGCUGGACCGAGGGUUGGAAGCUGCAACUCCGAGCCGGGGAUCGGCCCCAAAGGCUUCUCAGCUCUUUCGCCCGCUCAGUGGUGUGGGCGCUGCUCCCCGGGCUGAGAGCCUCCGGCUGUGAACCCCAGCUUCUCCUGUUGGAGUCGGGAAAAGGGAGCGUCAGUGCUGAGCGAGCUUCCGUCUCCUCCCUCAGUGUUUCUGCCCCAGUACGUUUUGGUUACUGAGACCCUCGAAUUCCCAUAUGAAUUGUAGCAGCAGCUAGUCAGUUUCUGCAGAGGAGACCGCAGGGAUUGUGAUCGAGACCACGUUGAAUAUACGGAUCGUUCUGGGGAGCACUGCCAUUCCAAAAGCGCUGUCUUCUGAUCCAGCAAUGUGCGUGGUUUGUCCAGGUGCCCUCACCUCCAGUAGCAUCCAUCCAGACACCGGAACUGACACUGGCCGUGCUCCGAACUGCCUCAGCCCUGAAGACACAACUGACAAAUAGAAGGGGACCACGCCCUGUUACAGCAGGUGCUCUCACUUUGUGGAUCCUUAUGUAACUGAGCGGUGUUAAUCAGGAUUGCCCGUUCUACAUUGUGUGGCGCUGCUGCGGUGUCUCCUAGUUACUUGUUUCUUGUAAGAAUUCCGGUGACUGAGUUAGAAGCAUGCUUCCAAGCUGUCCGUGUCCUCGGCAUCCAGAAGCGGAGCCUGGAAGCUUCCGAAUUUCUCCAGAAUGCAGUCUACAUUCACCUUCGGCAGGGCAGGAAGCCUAGACCAAAAGCUGGGUAAUGUGAUCCGAGCUACGGUAGCCAUUUGAAGACUCUGAGGACAAACUGUACCUCCGGAUUUACUUGAGCUUCCCUUGCCUUCUGGUUGGUACACACCAGGUCAUCGCAACCCAGAUGGACCUGCAGCCCACAGUACAGUAUGUACCUCGAUCUCCUCUCCCCUCUCGUCAGGGCCUGCAGCAUGAGCAUCCCUGACUACGUGCACUGUGCUGAGGACCACCAGACUUUCCCCGUGGUGGUCGAACACGUGGGGAUCAUCUCAGAGGAGAAUUUCUUUUGCAUCUAUAAGUGAAUCACCUUGGUGAGUCAGAUCAGUCCGUGCAGCUCCCAGUGGGCAAACUGUAUCCACUACAGGCACCACUAUGCACCCAAGAAUGGGUGGAGCGACUUCCAGACCCACCGCAAGGUCUUGGGCCUUGUCAUCAUUACUGAAUGCCUCUCGGCCAAGGCUUCGAAAAGCUCCACGUGCAGAGGAGCUGUAUGGCACCACGCUCUAUGACUCUCAGCUCUUUGACUUUCUGCUGCAUGGGGAGGUGGCCGAGCAGCCACGCACCGAAGUGGCCUUCAAUUUACGAGGACUGCAGGGUGGUGGAGAAGAGGAUCGACGACUUCACUGAGUCACUCUUCAUCUUGCCCAAGUCCAAGUGGCUGGACGGUGCAUCCGACAAUUCUGGGGACAAGAUCCUCCUUCUCUGCAUCCCAUUUGAGAAGGAGGACAUCAUGGGACUGGACACAGAAAGCAGUACGUUUUGGUUACUGAGUCCCUCAAAUUCCCAUAUGAAUAGUAGCAGCAGCUAGUCAGUUACUGCAGAGGAGCCCGCUGGGAUUGUGAUCGAGACCACGUUGAGUAUACAGAUCGCUCUGGGGAGCACUGCCAUCCCAAGAGCGCUGUCAUCUGAUCCAGGAAUGUGCGUGGUGUGUCUGUCCAGGGGAAAAGAGUACAAUUCAAAAAUAUAAAGAUUGUGAGCUAAUGAGAUAGACAAGACAACCGAACAUUUGUUAAAUAUCCUUUCAUGCCGGACACAAAUGUAUUAUACACACAAAAAGCACACAAAUCACGGUAGUACUGCGGUUACAAACGUGGGUCCGAGUUCGAGUCCUGCUCUGGAGUGACCAGUCCUGUGAGAUGGAGAACUGAGAUCUAUGUAUAGUUUUUUACAUUCUAUACCUGGAAAUUUCUCCAAAACUGCUUCCCACGUGAGUCCCAUGGCUCGGGAAUGGGGUGGUUCUGCUCAUUGACGGGGGUUGGCCAGAAACAGAAAAUGACAGCCUCAAAGGAGCCUGGGAUUUGUCAGUUAUGUUUUGUCAGUGCUGUAGAUUUCAGAAAACGCUUUCACCGUUUCUCUCCAUCUGAGGUGGCAGCGUGCUCUCUUAGCAGCAUCAGGAGCUCAGGGCCGCGGGAUGGUGGGGGCUGACUGCACUGCUAUCAAGACAGCUGUGCCAGUCACUGCAGGCGUGGUGAUUUUACAUAGUGCAUUUCAUGUUCUUUAAUAGGUUUCAACAGGUAGUUAAUUAACUGAGUUAAUUAACAUUUAAAAAAUAUGAUGCUUUGUUGAAAAGACAGUUAUAGGCAGAAUAUAAGUUGUGAACACUUUAAAAACGGUUUCAUUACUGAAAUUUUAGUAGGGAAGAUUUAGUUUAUCUUAUUUACACCUCUCUUCAAAAGUAACAAAGAAACAAGACAGAAAAAGCAGAGGAUGAUUUCUGUUCUUCCUCUCGGCUUGCAGGUGCCCUCACCUCCAGUGGCAUCCAUCCAGACACCAGCACUGACACUGGCCGUGCUCAGAACUGCCUCAGCCCUGAAGACACAACUGACAAAUAGAAGGGGGACACGCCCUGUGACAGCAGGUGCUCUCACUUUGUGGGUCCUUAUGUAACUGCGCAGUGUUAUUCAGGAUCGCCCGUUCUACACUGUGUGACGCUGCUGCCGUGUCUCCUAGUUAUUUCUGAGAGGAAAAGAAGUCUAAACUUACUUUCCAGUUGAAAAUGGAAUGGAGAGUUAACGUUGGAAGCCGGGAGAGUCUGUCCUGUGAUGAAGCGGCCUCCUAGCCACUUCCACUGGGACGUCACGUCACUGUCUGGGCCCCUUGCUCAGCCUGUGCACAGGUGACAGCGCAGAUGUGCCGAGCAGUCCUCCCGGACAGGGCAGUGGGUUGGAAAGGAGUUUGGGGAUUUGGUUUCAUUUCAUAGGUUUCUGAGGGCCUUGGCCUGGCACUUCGAGUGGGACCAUUCCCUGUCCCACAUACUCGUGCUCUGGGCCCGUGCAGGCCUGAUGUGGCCUCAGCCUGAGGCUCAGGGCCCGUGGUGAAGUGGAGAAUUUUAGUCCAGGGUCUGUGGAGGCUCUGACAAUUCUGGGUCGUGGGACAUUGUCCAGGAUGAUAAUAAUUCUUCCCCGAGUUUCAGAUUUCCUUGCCUGUGAGACGGGGUAGUAAUAGUUUCUGAGAUGAUUGUAAUGAUUCAGUAAGGGGCGCAGCGUGUGCUGGCAGGUAGCUGGUGCUUAAGGAGCAGAAGUCGCAGUCACUCUGUCAGCCUCUCACUGUGUGCUCUGUGCUUUGAGAAGAUGUGUAUUUGGUGAAAGUCCUGCCCAAAUACUAGGGUCUAGAUGAAACGUUGUUCCUUUACUUUCCCUUUCUUUUGCUCCUUCCUUUCUCUGCGUCUCAUGUGUAGGGAGCAGAUUCCUCUGUUUCAGGGAAUACAGGCCUUUCUAGGAAAAGGACAGGAUGAACGUGGAUAGGUGGGGCCGGAGGGGGUCUGGAGCAUCUGCACAGCGCUGCUUCCCUGCAUUUCUGCAUCCGGUCCCAUCAGUGCACGAACGUUCCUAGGAGAGAAUUCAGCAGUGCAGCAUCCUCUCCGAGCUCUAUGAGUUGAUCGGCUUCCACUGCAAGUCCGUCUUCUUCAAGUGGGUGGCCCCCGUGCAGCGCUUGGCCCCCGGCAUCCCGGAGCCUGGCGGGAAGGCCUGCUACCGACUCCUUCUGCAGACGCUUCCUGGCUACAGUCUGUCACUGAUUCUGCAGGAUUCAACAAAGGUUUUGGGACUAAAACAUUGCUUCAGUCCGAUUAACCAUGCCUUGUUUGGGCCCUGCUCUCCUGUCUCAACAGGGUGAAUUGUGAUUCGUGUAGAGCAGGACACAGCAGACUUUUUUCUGUCAAGGGCUUGGGAGGCAAUAUUUCAGGAUCUGCAAACCUCCUGAUCUCUGGUGCAGCUGCUCAGCUCUGCUGUUCAGACGCCAGAGCAGCCGGAGAGUCCACACACCCACAGAGCUUUAUUCACAGCAGUGGCUGGGGCUGGAUUGGGUGUAUGAACUGCAGUUUGUCCCCACAGCCUCCUCACUAUUGACGACUGUACCUGAGCGUGCAUUUGCGACAAUGGGUGAACCUACACUGACACGUCAUCAUCACCAAGAGCCCAUACUUGACACUAGGAUUUACACUUGGUGGUGUGCACUCUGUGGGUUUGGACAGAUGUACAAUGACACGUUUCUACCAUCACAGCAUCAUACAGAGUAGUCUGUCUUAGUGACCCUAAAAAUGCUCCUUGCUGCACCUCAUUCAUUACUCCUUCCCCUCUAGCCUCUGACAGUAACUGAUCUUUUAGUCUCUGUGGUUUUGCCUUUCCCAGAACACCAUACAGUUGGAAUCAGACAGUUGCAGAAUCUUCCCAGAUCGGCUUCUUUCACUUAGUAAUAUGCAUUUAAGGUUCCUCCAUGUCUUUCCAUGCCUUGAUAACUCAUUUUAUUUUAACACCAUAAAUAGUCCAUUUUCUGCCUGGACCACAGUUUAUUUAUCCAUUCACCUACUGAAGAACAGCUUAGUUGUUUCUGAGUUCUGGUGAUUAUGAAUAAAGCUGCUAUUAACAUCUGUAUGCAGAUUUGUGUGUGGACGUAAUUUUCCAUUUUGUUCAGUAAACACCAAGGAGCACAGUUGCCAGAUCAUAUGGUAGGAGUACGUUUAGUUUUGUAAAAAAUUGCCAGACCGUCUUCCAAAGUAUCUGGGCCAUUUUUCAUUCCCACCAGCAAUGCAAGAAAAUUCCUGACGCUCCACAUCCUCACCAGCAUUUGGUGCUGUCAGUGUUCUGAGUUUUGGCAGUUCUGACUGGUGUGCAGUGAUAACUCACUGUUUCAGUCUGCAGCCCCUUGAUGACAGAUGCUGUGGAGCAUGUUUCCAUAGAUUUCUUUGGCAUCUAGUUUCCAUGUUGAGGUGUGUGUUGAGGCAUUUUGCUCAUUUUUUAAGCAGGUUAUUCAUUCUUCUUGUUGAGUUUAAAGAGAUUUUGGUGUAUUCUGGAUAUCAGCCCUUUAUCAAUGUGUCCCUGCCCUUCACCUGCAGCACCGGAGUUGUCCUUUGGGUCUCAGUGGAGUGUCAGCUCUUCAAAGAGGUUCCCUGUCUUCCCUCACCUAAAUACUGUCCUUGAACUUUUCACUUUCAUUGACUCACUUUGUUCUUUUUAAAUAGCAUUUCCCAUAAUUUGUAAGUACAUUAAAAAAAAAGGCAAUGAUUGAACACUGCCUCCCCCACCAGGCUGUGUGCCCUGUGAGAGCAGAGACCCUGUCCCCACUCACCAUGUCCCAUGACAGCACAUGUCACAUGUCCAUGUAAAUGUGUGUAACGUGGGGCCAAACCUGAUGAGCAGCUAUGACGACAUGUGUUGGCUACCAUUCAUUGAAUAGAGUUUGUUUCUUGAUCUUAAUUUUAAAUCACAUGAAUGAAACAUGUUUCUUUUGAAAAAUAAAACAACAAAGCACACCUCCAUGUGAUUGGUACUUUCUACUUAGCCUUCUGACCCAGGAGGGGACGUUCACCAUCAUUUUGUGGAGGAGGUUGGGGAGGUAAAGUAGGAGAGUGAGAUCAAAUAAAGUAAAAAUGAUAACAAUCAGCUGGCUUUAUUUUCACUAAGACAAAUGUUACUUUAAACCAUACCUCAGCUGUUGUUCUGUUGUUUUAAACACUUCUCAUAGAAUUAAAUGGAAGCCCACUAAACCCUGAAAGGGAAAUUAUGUGCUCAGGUCCUGAAAAGUGUUUAUGUCUAUUUCUUGAAAUGCACAUUUUCCCUGCUGGUUACAGAAUGUCAUGGCGGGAACACAGCCGUGAGCUGUGUGUGUCUGCCAGCUUCACGGGCUGCUCACUGUCAUUUUCAUUUUCUUGUGUUGCAGUGUAUGAAGGUUUUCCAUCAGACUGUUUGCUCAGCCCCUUCCUGAAUGAGGGAUUGAAUUUUCCACAGGAAAUCUUAUGGAAGAGAGUGACAAGGCACAUGGGUUUCCCAAAAAGCAAUAGUUGUUGUAAUAAACUCUCACAUUGGUGAACUUUUUGAAUACAAGCGAGUUGAAAAUUUUAUCACUAGGUCAUAUGCCACAAAUCUGUCUUAAGAAUAAAAAGAUUCAGAUUUUAUAGAAGAAGCAGUUUGAAUCAAGUAUAAAUUACAAUUUGUACACUAGUUGGUGUUAGAACAUGUACUCACUCUUACCAUAAUUGCCUGUGGUAGGAACUGGAUCAUUAUUUAUUUAUUUAAAAAAAAUCCUCAAGGUUCUACUUGCCUCAUUCUUGAUGCGGCAGUGCUGAGGUUAGUUAAGUUGGGACAUUUAGAAUUCUUGGCUAGGUUUUCAGGACAUUGAUUUCAGCCUCUUUAUCUUUUUUAGAAUCUCUUCUUUGUGUCGGUCUUUGGUCUUUUGACAAUGUGGAAAUACUGCACAGAUCAGUCUUUCCCUUUUUCCUGUCUUUAUGGGAAAAGAUUUCUGUAAGACACACUACUAGGACAUUAAGCAUUUUGUGUGGGGUAAGUUUGGUCGGCUCAAAGGAUUUCAAUUAAUACGUAUUAAUACUUGCUAUUCAGCUAAUGAUAAGAAAAUUAUAAAAUAACUUAAUUAUACAUCAAUAAAUAUAGUACAAUAAGCCCAUCACCCAGAUUAAGGAAUUCACAAACAUUUCCAUAUUUCCUUUAUUCAGACCUUUGUUCUUUUACUUGUCCUUUGUUGAAGUAUUUGACAGCAAAUUCAAGAAAACAUGUCAUUUUACCCUAUGUACUCAAGUAGGCAUGUCUGAAAAAUGAGGGCCAUUUCUUUGAUCAGGUUUUUCCAUUUGACUUAUGUGCUCGUUAAGUACCAGCUGUAUCAGGCAUCUCACUAGGCAUUAGGAAUCCUUGGGGCAAUGAGACAGUCCUGGCUCCCAAGGAAGUUAAGGGCUGAUGGAAGAAACCAACACAGGAGCUUAGGUGCCUCACCUAAGGUCCCUGCGGGAUGACACCAAUUGGAAAAAAUUUGUGCACAAUACAGUGGGAUUCACAGAAGGGACUGGUCAGACUAGUAGGGCAGGCCGUGAGAGAGGCGGUCAGCAGGGCUACAAGAGGAGGAAUCAUUUGAUCAGAAUCUGAAAUCUUUUCUGCCAACCUUCCUACCAAGCCCUAGGGCCCAUCACACACAACCCUGUGCUGUAACUGUUUUUGAUUCCUGUUACCACGUCUCCUUCAGGAAGGAUUUUAAGGUGGAAAAUAUUUAAAAUCAGUAAUUGUUGCCAGAAGGGACAUAGAACAAAGAACAUGGAAACAACACAAAUGUCCAUCAGCACAUGACUGGAUAAAGACAAGGUGAUACAUAUCUACAAUGGAAUACUACUCAGCCAUAACAGAUGCAAUUUGCAGCAACAUGGAUGGACCUGAAGACUGUCAUUCUAAGUGAAGUGGGGUGAAAAGAGAAAGAAAAAUGCCAUAAGACUUCAUUUAUGAGGAAUCUAAAAUUAAUAGCAAUAAUAAUAAGACCACAAAUGAACUAAUUGUUAUUUUGAUUUCUUGAAUAUGCUUAAGCACAUAUGACUGUCCUUUGUGAUUGGAUUACCAUAUUCUGUUUAUUAUUCUUUUGUAGUUGGCUUUAUUCCUCUGGUAACUAUGUAAGUUUAAAAAUCUGAAACUCUAAUCUGUUCUUAGAAACAAUAAUUAGUACAUAUAUGUAACUAAAAAAAUGCAGUAUACUCUAUACAUGUAUUUACAUGCAAUGUGUAUGUGGAGUUGAACUGUAAUAAUUAUACCUAAUAAUACUGAAAAAGGAAAAAAAUAAAAUAAUAUAUAAAAAAACUA